rnacentral:rRNA from 1 species
AAGCAUCUAAGCGCGAAGCCAACUUCAAGAUAAGAUUUCCCACCGCAAGGGUAAGACCCCAGAAAGACUAUCUGGUUGAUAGGUCGAAGGUGUAAGUGCAGCAAUGUAUUUAGCUUAUCGAUACUAAUAGGUCGAGGACUUGACCAAUAUUUAUU